rnacentral:rRNA from 1 species
UUGAUACUGUGAGGCUAGGAUUUGGUUGCUGUGGGCGGAAUGUGUGGUGUAGCGGUGAAAUGCUUAGAGAUCACACAGAAUAUCGAUUGCGAAGGCAGCUCACAAAGCCAAGAUUGACGCUGAGGCACGAAAGUGUGGGGAUCAAACAGGAUUAGAUACCCUGGUAGUCCACACUGUAAACGAUGAUAACUCGCUGUCGGCGAUAGACCGUCGGUGGCCAAGCGAAAGCGAUAAGUUAUCCACCUGGGGAGUACGACCGCAAGGUUGAAACUCAAAGGAAUUGACGGGGGCCCGCACAAGCGGAGGAACAUGUGGUUUAAUUCGAUGAUACGCGAGGAACCUUACCCGGGCUCGAACGGUGCAUGAAUGUUCAAGAGAUUGGACAGUCCUUCGGGACAUGUAUCGAGGUGCUGCAUGGUUGUCGUCAGCUCGUGCCGUGAGGUGUCGGCUUAAGUGCCAUAACGAGCGCAAC